rnacentral:rRNA from 1 species
UGGGGAAUUUUGGACAAUGGGCGAAAGCCUGAUCCAGCAAUGCCGCGUGUGUGAAGAAGGCCUUCGGGUUGUAAAGCACUUUUGUCCGGAAAGAAAUCCUUGGCUCUAAUACAGUCGGGGGAUGACGGUACCGGAAGAAUAAGCACCGGCUAACUACGUGCCAGCAGCCGCGGUAAUACGUAGGGUGCAAGCGUUAAUCGGAAUUACUGGGCGUAAAGCGUGCGCAGGCGGUUUGCUAAGACCGAUGUGAAAUCCCCGGGCUCAACCUGGGAACUGCAUUGGUGACUGGCAGGCUAGAGUAUGGCAGAGGGGGGUAGAAUUCCACGUGUAGCAGUGAAAUGCGUAGAGAUGUGGAGGAAUACCGAUGGCGAAGGCAGCCCCCUGGGCCAAUACUGACGCUCAUGCACGAAAGCGUGGGGAGCAAACAGGAUUAGAUACCCCGGUAGUCCACGCCCGGUAAACGAUGUCAACUAGUUGUUGGGGAUUCAUUUCCUUAGUAACGUAGCUAACGCGUGAAGUUGACCGCCUGGGGAGUACGGUCGCAAGAUUAAAACUUAAAUGAAUUGACGGGGU